UACGUAGGGGGCAAGCGUUGUCCGGAAUCAUUGGGCGUAAAGCGCGUGUAGGCGGUCCGGUAAGUCCGCUGUGAAAGUCAGGGGCUCAACCCUCGGAUGCCGGUGGAUACUGUCGGGCUUGAGUACGGAAGAGGCGAGUGGAAUUCCUGGUGUAGCGGUGAAAUGCGCAGAUAUCAGGAGGAACACCAAUUGCGAAGGCAGCUCGCUGGAACGUUACUGACGCUGAGACGCGAAAGCGUGGGGAGCAAACAGG
rnacentral:rRNA from 1 species